rnacentral:rRNA from 1 species
GACGAACGCUGGCGGCGUGCUUAGCACAUGCAAGUCGAACGGAAAGGCCCUGCUUUUGUGGGGUGCUCGAGUGGCGAACGGGUGAGUAACACGUGAGUAACCUGCCCUUGACUUUGGGAUAACUUCAGGAAACUGGGGCUAAUACCGGAUAGGAGCUCCUGCUGCAUGGUGGGGGUUGGAAAGUUUCGGCGGUUGGGGAUGGACUCGCGGCUUAUCAGCUUGUUUGUGGGGUAGUGGCUUACCAAGGCUUUGACGGGUAGCCGGCCUGAGAGGGUGACCGGCCACAUUGGGACUGAGAUACGGCCCAGACUCCUACGGGAGGCAGCAGUGGGGAAUAUUGCACAAUGGGCGGAAGCCUGAUGCAGCAACGCCGCGUGCGGGAUGACGGCCUUCGGGUUGUAAACCGCUUUCGCCUGUGACGAAGCGUGAGUGACGGUAAUGGGUAAAGAAGCAACGGCUAACUACGUG